UUCGAUGCUUCUCAACAACGCAUUCAACUCAAACCUCUUCAAGCACACCACCGUGUUCCCAUACUGUAGUUGCGCAUACAAGGUCACCGCAAGCCCAAACUUGUGGAACAUUGGUAGCACGCAUAGGAACACGUCGUGCAUCUUUUCCGCCAUCUCGUCGUCCAUGCAUAUCAUCUUCAUCGCAUUGAUGAAGUUCUGGUGUGUCAGACAACGCCCUUGCUCAACUCUGUUGUUUCGAAGGAGUACAAUGGUGCCACCAUGUCGCUCCGCUUCACGCUAGUCUUUGGAAACUAUAUUUCAGUGCUGGUGAAUUUCACCAAAUCGUCGAAGCUCAUGAUCUUGGAGGCCCGUUGUGAUGAUGACACGUGGAUGGUGGGAUUCGAAUCGAGAAAAACUGUGGGGAGACUAAAGGUCUUCACUUUAUCCCAUGGUCUAGCAAGGUUAAGAUGAGUUUGGGGUUACAGUCAUUGAGUUGUUUGGAGACUUCAGAGGUGGUGUGGGAGGGGUUGACGAUAUA